CCUACGGGGGGCAGCAGUGGGGAAUAUUGGACAAUGGGCGAAAGCCUGAUCCAGCCAUGCCGCGUGUGUGAAGAAGGCCUUCGGGUUGUAAAGCACUUUCAGUGGGGAAGAAAGCCUUGGGGCUAAUACCCUCGAGGAAGGACAUCACCCACAGAAGAAGCACCGGCUAACUCCGUGCCAGCAGCCGCGGUAAUACGGAGGGUGCGAGCGUUAAUCGGAAUUACUGGGCGUAAAGCGCGCGUAGGCGGUCUGAUAAGCCGGUUGUGAAAGCCCCGGGCUCAACCUGGGAACGGCAUCCGGAACUGUUAGGCUUGAGUGCAGGAGAGGAAGGUAGAAUUCCCGGUGUAGCGGUGAAAUGCGUAGAGAUCGGGAGGAAUACCAGUGGCGAAGGCGGCCUUCUGGACUGACACUGACGCUGAGGUGCGAAAGCGUGGGUAGCAAACAGGAUUAGAUACCCGUGUAGUC
rnacentral:rRNA from 1 species